rnacentral:tRNA from 1 species
GCCCCCAUCGUCUAGCGGCCCAGGAUGCGAGAUUCUCAGUCUCGAGACCGGGGUUCAAAUCCCCGUGGGGGUACCA